UACGUAGGGUGCGAGCGUUUAAUCGGAAUUACUGGGCGUAAAGCGUGCGCAGGCGGUUCGUUGUGUCGGUGGUGAAAUCCCCGGGCUUAACCUGGGAAUGGCCAUGGAAACUGGCGAACUGGAGUGCGGCAGAGGGGGGUGGAAUUCCGCGUGUAGCAGUGAAAUGCGUAGAGAUGUGGAGGAACACCGAUGGCGAAGGCAGCCCCCUGGGUCAAGAUUGACGCUCAUGCACGAAAGCGUGGGGAGCAAACAGG
rnacentral:rRNA from 1 species